rnacentral:tRNA from 1 species
GCACCAUUAGCUCAGUUGGUAGAGCAGCUGACUCUUAAUCAGCGGGUCUGAGGUUCGAGUCCUCAAUGGUGUA